rnacentral:lncRNA from 1 species
CUUCCCACGCUCCACCGUCACUGGCGGCGCGUGGGUUCACGCGCUGCCCGAAAAAAACACUGCGACAGGGGGGGGCUGGAUCGACUUCUUCCCAUCAUCCUUUCGUCGCCGGCGGUGUGAAGUAAAGCCACCUGCAAAGUCAAGAAAACGCAACAACAGUAGAUUUUAAUUUUUCUUGCUCCUUCCCGGAUCUGUUCUCAGUUCUUCUUCUCCGUUUCGGAUCU